GACACACAAGCUAAAGAGAAUGUCAUG
rnacentral:piRNA from 1 species